rnacentral:lncRNA from 1 species
GUCCGAAUCCAUGGUCAAAUUGCCGUCCCUAUCCGCCGGCCUGCGGAGUCCAUGCCUCCCACGGGGCACGGGCGCUGUCUCGGUGCGUCCGACACGCCGUUCCUUCUCUCGUGCCGGCUCGGAGGCUCACCCCUCGACUGGAACUUGCAUCCGCCACCGCCUUAUCAGUCACCCCGCUCGAGUUGGCUCCCUCCAAUCCCAGGUCUGCCUCUCAUACCCCCGCUAUUUCCAGUGUGCGCUUCCAAUCCUUCCAGGCUGCUGGUAAAUGUGGCAUCCAACAGGUGGCACAUUGUUUGUUGCGCUGCCAUAGAAACCAGGGAUAAUUUCGUUGCUAGGAGGUAUUUGGACAGAUACGGGAGGGCUACACACUUAAUUCACCCCCUUUUGCGAGUCUAUGGCUUCACACGUUUGAACUAGGAUGGAUCUCCACUGGAUGUAUCUUGUUCGUCUGAAAUAUUGCUCCAGGUUUCGCUGCUAUUCUCAUGUCAUUUUUCUGUGAUGAAACAAUGAAAUUGCAGUAGCUUUACUGUUGUCUGUUAUUGGAUUAUAAUUUCUGUCAAGGCAAAAUUGUAAAAGUCAAACAAUAGACGUUUCUAGUUAACUAGACUGCGGUAGUUGAGCUAUCGAGCAUAAUGAUUGCUGAGCAUUGCUCUGUAGUAUGUACUCACCUAGUUUGAAUUAAUGAAUUCUAUAGCUAAUUGGCAGGGUUAUGAGUUAAUGAAUUCUCCGUCCAGAAGUUGAUUUAGAAACAACUUUUUAAGUCGUUCGAUUAAUCGCAAUUAAUCAUAAAUAAUCGUCUAAGUCGGUUUGGACCAAUCAUGAUUAAUCGUCCAAGCCGUCCAACUAAUCGUGAUUAAUCGCAGUUAAUCGUCUAAGUCGGUAAGCCAGAACAACUAACAAGUCGUCCUACUUGAAAACAUUGUUUAGAAAUACCAGCCUGGGCUGUACUGACAUCUUGAAUGCCCUGCAAGAUUGAAGUAUUUCCCGCAUGGUUGGCCUGUGAGCCUCAUUGUCCUGAAUACACCAGCAUGCAAGUGCUGCUGUAGUUUUAGAGAAAUAAGUGACAUGCUUCCAACAUAUUUAAAGAUAUUAAAUAUUCUAAUUCCGAAUAAAACAAACAUAUAACUCAGAUAAAUGCUAUAUGUAAUUGUAACGGUAAUGAACAGUAGCAUUUAUAGUAUAUGAAAACAUGAAACAUAGCUAGUCAGGUCCAUUUGCACAUUAAACAUGGCUUGUAGAUGAAGAAGGCAGACUAUACACAUAAACAAGAUUGUUUAUAUUUUAGAUUUUGCUCUCAAAAUAGCGGGUUGCUGCACUAGACGGUCCUCUAAUACUAAAUGGUGAUCAAAGAUCCUUGACUAACGUGACAGUCUUAUCUUACCAGAUCAAGGUUUUAGAUCAAAUAUAAUGAUCCUAGAAGCCAAGCAUGAAUACCAAGAGCAAAGAAUUGUGCAAUGGAAUAAAGGAACAUAAGUGAACUCAAGUAAUCAGCCUCCACAAUAGUAAUAUAUAUCACUAGGCACAAAUAUAAUCAAUGCUGAAAAUAGCAACACACUAAAACCUAGACUGCCACGUCGUCUCACUACACCGCUAUCAUCAUCGAGCAAAUAAAUCCGCCCACAUAAUAGUGCAAUCACACCCAAGUAUAUAAUACUAGCAGAUUGCACAAAAUAUACUGUAAGUAAAUAGAGGCAACAGGUAACUCACAACACGUAGAUUGUCUACGUGGGAGGACAAGCUCAGCGAAUACAAAGUUGUCCCAGAAAACCAAAUCCGCCACCCACGUCCGAGCCUGCAUAGCGGAAGGUUGACGAAAAUACUAGAGUCGCUGCUGAGGCCGAGGGAAACGUCCACGACCCGAGAAGAGGAACACCGCGCAGCAGGGAGCUCAAGCACCUGGCCACGGUUGACAACAACCAGAGAGGAACCACAGCACCACACAGGUGCUCGAGCACAACAAUGGAGCACAGAAAAACCUCACUGCACGUGUACAGCGCCAACCACCACCCUCUUCCAAUCAUCACCAGCGAGAUGAACACAAGAAUACCAUGGAUCGAACGGAUCAAUCGAAUUCUUGACUGGAACAGUGAGUAGGGAGAGAGUAGAGAACUUGCGUCUCUAGAGGAUACGGGGAUACCCCUCCCAUCUUAAGAAGCCGAGCAGGAGGUGGUUACCUAGGGGAUGGCACAAGCUUCGGUCGAACGUGCCACGGAAGCUGGAGCAGCGGUUGAGCGCCGCCGCCGCCCAAACCGCGCCCUUUUGGCCUCAGCUCUCGGUCUGGAAAAGGCACCAACGUGCCUAGGGUUGUGCUAGCUGGCUGGGCUGCUUGUCCGUGAGGACAAGGCCCAGCCCGGCUGGCCUCCUUUUUUUAAAAAAAUCCAUUUCUUCUAUUUCCAUAUUAGAAAAUAAAAGGGAAAUACCCCAAAAUGGACAACAAGUGCAACCUUGCACGAUCUCUCUAGCUCUUGAAAAUUCACGUUAUUUCAGAUAGCUCUGUUUAAAUGCACUAGAGCUAAUAGUUAGCCGCUAAAACCAGCUAAAGACAUCCAAACAACCCAACUAAUAGUUUAGCUAUUAGCUACUCUUUUUUAGAUAAUGGAAACCAGGUUCCGGCUUUGUCCUCCAUCAAAGGAGGGUACAACCUUACAUACAAACUGACAUCAAAAGAUCAGCACUCCCAACAUAGAGUGCAAUCUUACACCAUAAAUAUUAAAAUAAACACGACACCCAACAGACAUACUAUAACCUCAAUAUAUAAUCCUGUUCGUAAAACUCCAACCAAAAUAAGAAAAAAAUUGCAUAGAUGCGACUUCGAUCCGUCGACACUUCUCCUUGAUUAUCUCCUGGUCUUCAACCCUCUGCAAAUAUCCCCAAAACCUAAGCCAAUGGGUCGCCCGAAACAGAACCCGCAAAUAAGUAACCAUCGGGGUUUUGUUAAACACUAAGUCAUUUCGACUUAUCCAGAUAGCCCAGCAUAAAGCUGCAACACCUGUAAUAAUCAGAUUUUUAACUUUGAGGUGCACCCCAUGCAACCAAGAUCCAAAAAUAUGUUUAAAUGAUCUCGGGGUACUUAAACCAAAACAACAAUAUAAAAGCCUCCAAAAGAAUCUAGCGUAAUGACAUUUAAAAAACAAGUGUUGUAUAUAUUCAUUCGAAUCACAGAACACCCAUUUUUUACUUCCCUGCCAUCUACGCUUAGCUAGAUUGUCUUUCGUGAGAGCUACACCUCUAAUAAGAUACCUGAAAGGAAAUUAGGCUUACACCUAGUUCCUAAAUAAUUUUGGUGGUUGAAUUGCCCAACACAAACAAUUGGACUAACUAGUUUGCUCUAGUGUAUAAGUUAUACAGGUGUCAAAGGUUCACAACAAGCCAAUUAAAAAGACCAAAGUUGGGUUCAAAAUAGAGAGCUAAAGGCACCCCUUGGCAUUUAGUUCCGCGUCCUAAUCAAAAUGUUGUAGGAACCAAGUGGGUCUUCCGCAACAAACAAGAUGAGCAUGGUGUGGUGACAAGGAACAAAGCUCGACUCGUGGCCAAGGGGUAUUCACAAGUCGAAGGUUUGGAUUUUGGUGAAACCUAUGCACCCGUAGCUAGGCUUGAGUCAAUUCGCAUAUUAUUAGCCUAUGCUACUUACCAUGGCUUCAAGCUUUAUCAAAUGGACGUGAAGAGUGCUUUCCUCAAUGGACCAAUCAAGGAAGAGGUCUAUGUUGAGCAACCUCCCGACUUUGAAGAUAGUGAGUACCCUAACUAUGUCUAAGCUCUCUAAGGCGCUUUAUGGGCUCAAGCAAGCCCCAAGAGCAUGGUAUGAAUGCCUUAGAGAUUUCCUUAUUGCUAAUGGCUUCAAAGUCGGCAAGGCCGAUCCUACAUUAUUCACUAAAACUCUUGACAAUGAUUUGUUUGUAUGCCAAAUUUAUGUUGAUGAUAUUAUAUUUGGGUCUACUAACGAAUCUACAUGUGAAGAAUUUAGUAGGAUCAUGACACAGAAAUUCGAGAUGUCUAUGAUGGGGGAGUUGAAGUAUUUUCUAGGAUUUCAAGUCAAGCAACUCCAAGAGGGCACCUUCAUCAGCCAAACAAAGUAUACUCAAGACAUUCUAGCCAAGUUUGGAAUGAAGGAUGUCAAGCCCAUCAAGACACCCAUGGGAACAAAUGGGCAUCUCGACCUCGACAUGGGAGGUAAGUCCGUGGAUCAAAAGGUAUACCGGUCGAUGAUUGGUUCAUUGCUUUAUUUAUGUGCAUCUCGACCGGACAUUAUGCUUUCCGUUUGCAUGUGUGCAAGAUUCCAAGCCGACCCUAAGGAAUCACACCUUACGGUCGUAAAACGAAUCUUGAGAUAUCUGGCUUAUACUCCUAAGUUUGGGCUUUGGUACCCUCGGGGAUCCACAUUUGAUUUGAUUGGUUAUUCGGAUGCCGAUUGGGCGGGGUGUAAGAUUAAUAGGAAGAGCACAUCGGGGACUUGCCAGUUCUUGGGAAGAUCCUUGGUGUCUUGGGCUUCAAAGAAGCAAAAUUCGGUCGCUCUUUCUACCGCCGAAGCCGAGUAUAUUGUCGCAGGCCAUUGUUGCGCGCAAUUGCUUUGGAUGAGGCAAACCCUGCGGGACUAUGGUUACAAAUUAACCAAAGUUCCUCUUCUAUGUGAUAAUGAGAGUGCAAUCCGCAUGGCGGAUAAUCCCGUUGAGCAUAGCCGCACUAAACACAUAGCCAUUCGGUAUCAUUUUCUUAGGGAUCACCAACAAAAGGGGGAUAUCGAGAUUGCAUACAUUAACACUAAAGAUCAAUUAGCCGAUACCUUUACCAAGCCACUUGAUGAACAAUCUUUUACCACACUUAGGCAUGAGCUCAAUAUUCUUGAUUCUAGGAAUUUCUUUUGCUAAUUUGCACACAUAGCUCAUAAAUAUACCUUUGAUCAUGUCUCUUUGAUAUAUGCUAUGACUAAUGUGUUUUCAAGUAUAUUUGAAACCAAGUCAUAGGUAUAUUGAAAGGGAAUUGGAGUCUUCGGCGAAGACAAAGGCUUCCACUCCACUCUAUUACUCAUCCUUCGCCGUCGCUCCGCAUCACUCUCCAUCUUUGGUAUAAUCUUCACUCAUAUGUUUUUAUUUGCCAAAGGGGAGAAAGUAGUUGGGAAAGGGCCUAUAUUUCAUUCCAAGUAUCCGUUUUUGGCGAUUCAUGCCAAAGGGGGAGAAAGUAUUGGCCCAAAGCAAAAGGACCGCACCAUCACCCUAUUUUUUAAAAUUAAUGAUUUUCAAUUGGUAAAUUUCAAAUUGGUAUCUCUUUGUGUUCUAAAGGGGGAGCAAGUAAUAUUUUCAAAACUUGAUAUCUUAAAACCCUCUUGAACACUAAGAGGAGAAUUUAUUUGAGGGGGAGUUUUGUUUAGUCAAAGGAAAAACAUUUGAAACAAAAGGAGAAAAUUUCAAACUUGAAAAAUGCUUCGCAAAAAUCUUACUCAUUUUCCUUUGACUAUUUGCAAAAGAACUUUGAAAAGGAUUUACAAAAGAAUUUGCAAAAACAAAUCUGUGGUGCAAGCGUGGUCCAAAAUGUUAAAAAUAAAGAAACAAUCCACGCCUAUCCUGUAAGUAUUUAUAUUGGCUCAAUUCCAAGCAACCUUUACACUUACAUUAUGCAAACUAGUUCAAUUAUGCACUUCUAUAUUUGCUUUGGUUUGUGUUGGCAUCAAUCACCAAAAAGGGGGAGAUUGAAAGGGAAUUAGGCUUACACCUAGUUCCUAAAUAAUUUUGGUGGUUGAAUUGCCCAACACAAACAAUUGGACUAACUAGUUUGCUCUAGUGUAUAAGUUAUACAGGUGUCAAAGGUUCACAACAAGCCAAUUAAAAAGACCAAAGUUGGGUUCAAAAUAGAGAGCUAAAGGCAUCCCGAAAGGCUCCCUGGUCCGGCGCACCGGACUGUCCGGUGGCGCACCGGACAGUGUCCGGUGCACCAGGGGACCUCGCGCAGAACUCCUCAGCCUCGGGAAUUUUCAGAAGCCGGCGUGCUAUAAUUCACCGGACUGUCCGGUGUACACCGGACAGUGUCCGGUGCUCCAAGAGAUCGCGGCUCUGUAACUUGGCAGCCUCGGGAAUUUGUCGCGGCUGCUCCGCUAUAAUUCACCGGACAUGUCCGGUGUACACCGGACUGUCCGGUGUAACAGCGGGGCAACGGCUACUCCGCGCCAACGGUCGCCUGCAACAGCAAUUAAUGCGCGCCAGAGCGCGCAGGCGUCAGGCACGCCCAUGCUGGCGCACCGGACACUCUACAGUACAUGUCCGGUGCGCCACCGGAAAUCCAGGUGGGCCCAGAAGCCAGAACUCCAACGGUCAAAUUGCAACGGCUUUGGUGACGUGGCUGGCGCACCGGACAUGUCCGGUGUGCACCGGACUGUCCGGUGCACCAUACGACAGACAGCCUCCACCAACGGUCAUGUUUGGUGGUUGGGGCUAUAAAUACCCCAACCACCCCACCAUUCAUUGCAUCCAAGUUUUCCACUUCCCAACUACUUACAAGAGCUCUAGCAUUCAAUUCUAGACACACUCAAGAGAUCAAAUCCUCUCCCAAAUUCCACACAAAGCUUUAGUGACUAGUGAGAGAGAUUUGCUUGUGUUCUUUCGAGCUCUUGCGCUUGGAUUGCUUUCUUCCUUCUUGAUUCUUUGUUGCGAUCAAACUCACUUGUAAUUGAGGCGAGAGACACCAAUCUUGUGGUGAUCCUUGUAGGAACUUUGUAUUCCAAGUGAUUGAGAAGAGAAAGCUCACUUGGUCCGGGGGACCGUUUGAGAGAGGGUAAGGGUUGAAAGAGACCCGGCCUUUGUGGCCUCCUCAACGGGGAGUAGGUUUGCGAGAACCGAACCUCGGUAAAACAAAUCCGCGUGUCACACUUCUUAUUCGCUUGCGAUUUGUUUUGCGCCCUCUCUCGCGGACUCUAUUAUAUUUCUAAACGCUAACCCGGCUUGUAGUUGUGAUUAUUUGUGAGAAUUUCAGUUUCGCCCUAUUCACCCCCCUCUAGGCGACUUUCAAUACCACAUAAAGAUCUUAAUUUUCAGAGGUAUUUUCAUCUUCCAUAGCGGUUUGAAAUAGAAAAUUUUGGCAUUAUUAAUAAGAGCAUUGUACAUCGAACGGACAGUAAAAAACCUCAAGGUUGACAAAUUGCAUUUGAACUCAUCUCUCCCAGUGGAUAGAUGAGUAUGAGCAAUACUCAAGACCAAUCUAUUCCAACAUAAAAGAUUACCACCCACCAGCGCUCUGCGGAAAGAGAUGUUUAGAGGAAUCCUAUUAAAAACAUUCGCCAUCGUAUCACUUUUUUACGAGCUAUAUUAUAUAAGGACGGAAAUUUCAUCAUUAGAGGUUGUUUACCCAUCCACGUGUCCUCUCAAAAUCUAAUCUGCUUCCCAUCUUUAAGAAUAAAGGAACCAAGACCAAAGAAUUGGUCUUUAACUUUCAGUAGCCCAGACCAAAAAUGAGAGUCACCAGGUUUUCUACCUACCUUUGACAAGGUACAAGAUUUGAGGUAUUUGUUCCUAAGUAAAUUUUUGCCAUAGACUGUCCUCAUUAAUCAAUUUAAAUAACCAUUUACCAAGCAAAUACUUAUUUUGAACCUCUAUGUUCUGAAUACCUAGACCCCCUUGGUCUUUAGGUUGACAAAGAAUAUCCCAACGUGCAAGUCUAUACUUUUUUUUAUGAUGAUCUCCUUGCCAGAAGAACCUAGAGCGAUAGUAGUCUAUUUUUUCUAGUACACCCUUAGGCACUUCAAAAAAAGACAACAUAAACAUAACUAAGCUUGUGAGAACAGAAUUAAUCAAGACUAACCGGCCACCUACCGACAUAAGUUUUCCCUUCCAGCUGCUCAAUUUCUUUUCAAACUUUAUCUCUAUGGUUUUCCAAUCUCUAUUACUUAACUUUCUAUAAUGCAUUGGGAUCCCCAAGUAUCUGAAAGGAAAGCCGCCUUUUUAGCAUCUAUUAGCUACUCUUAGUUGGAGACAUUCAAACAUCCCUAGCUAAUAGUCUAACUAUCUAUUAGCUACACCCUCAACUACCUAUUUAUCCAGCUAAAAGUAGCUAAUAGUUAGCCAACUAUUUGUUUGUCAACUAAUUCCAUUAGCAACAUUUUAACCAGCUAAUUAUUAGCUCUAGCACAUUCAAACGGGGCCUUAGUUUGCAAUACAAAAUUUCAAAAACGUCACCUUCACUUAUCUUUAUUGUGGCCCACAAUGGAAAGUACCUUAUGGCCCCACGCAACCAAGAGACUAGGUAGACAUGCAUGCCUGUCUCUGCUCGCUACCGUGUCUGCUGGAUGAUCAAAACUUUGCCAGAAAACAUCAGAAGAGUUGUGUUGAUCUCUCAGGAUAAGAUUUACACUAUCAAGGAAAACUGCAAUUGUAGAUCUGCUGAACUGUGGACUAGAUUUCCAUCCAUGGAUACUGUAAGUUCUGGAAAUGAAGCAUUUGAGACAGCUAUCCCGAUUGGACACCCAGAUAAUAGUUCUCUUUGAAAUAAUUCUGAACCAGAUACCAGCAUAAAAGUUUCCAGAGAGAAUAUCUAAGCUCAAAGCUUUUCCUUCCCUUUCUUUUUUGUCGUGUGCCCUUAGAUCAUUGAGCUAACAGAUCUUGACAAGGCGCCGUAUUGAGCUGGUAAAGCAAUGCUCUGAAAAGGAGAGGCUGAAUAUUUCCACUGUAGUAAGUUGCAUUAUUUUCUUAUGCGUCCGGCAAUAAGCUAGAAGAUCAGGAGUAUAGUACCAACUGAUUUAGUAUAAACAAGGAGCAUGUUAAUGUUAUAGAUACAUGGGACUAUACUACUGCCAUUUCAUCCGUGGUGAUGGUCUUUCACUUAUUAUGCUACUAUACUACGAGUCUACGACUUUAUUGGAUGGAGUUACAUGGGAUUCUUAAUGCGUUAAACUUCCAAGUACUGUAUCACCUCUCUGGGUACUCCAUCUAAUUAGUCUAGUGGAAAAUCUAAAAAUCUGAAGCGUGCAUAACAAUAGCUAUGGUCCAUGGAUAAGAUAGUUAAUCUCUAACUAGUUCCUUGUUUAUUUAGUUGAGUAUAAAUUGCUUUGUACUGUGCUCUCGUUUUGAAUGCAAUCAAUGCAUUUUUUCCAUAUAUCCUAAUUUUUUUAGUCCUGUUCCCCAUGGUAUUGAUAGUUAGAGAUAGUGAGAAACUGUUGUCUGUCAAACUGAAGGAAGUUUUCUUUGAAAAUGUUCUUUAGUCUAAGAGAUCUUGGAAGCAGUGGUUUCCCUCAUUGUACCAUGCCUGCAACAUUCUAGCUUUGCAUCUAAAGUCCAUAAUAACCUGACCGAAUCUUCAUCCCUGUCUGAAUGAUCCCAUGACUCUACAUAUAUCUAGAAAGUACUUGAUUUAUGAGCAAUACUUGUGUUUUUGACUAAUUGCUCCUAAAAUAAGUUUAGCUGUGCACAUCCUUCUUUAGUGAAUGAUGCUGAGAUUGCUUUUCAAAAAUAAAAAUACAAUACAAAAAAUAAGCAAGUAACCCCCAAAAAAUUAUGUGCACAUCAUUUGUGUUAUUAUUUCUUUGCACAUGAGAAAACUUAAGCAUCUCAAUCAAUCAACUUCGAUGAUAUCAUCUUGAUUUUUUACAUUUAGUAAGAGAAAAUGGGGAAUCUUGCAUGUGUAAUGUAAAUGCAACAGUAGUACCUUCCUUGUUUUGGUUAUGACAUUCUGCACUAAAUUUACAGUACUGAAGCAUAGUGAUACAAAAACUGAGUAUAUUAGGUUCUAAUCAUGUACAGAUUUACUCAUGCUCUUCAAGUAUUGCCCUAAUAAAUUGCAGGUUAUCUGAUCUAUGGACUUUGGAGAUGUGAACUGCCUGAAGUAGUACUGCGUGUCUGGGAAGUUGUGCUGUUCUGUGUCUGGGAAGUCUGGUUUGAAGAUAUAUCUGAAAAGAAGUUU